rnacentral:rRNA from 1 species
UACGAAGGGGGCUAGCGUUCUCGGAAUCACUGGGCGUAAAGGGUGCGUAGGCGGGUCUUUAAGUCAGGGGUGAAAUCCUGGAGCUCAACUCCAGAACUGCCUUUGAUACUGAAGAUCUUGAGUUCGGGAGAGGUGAGUGGAACUGCAAGUGUAGAGGUGAAAUUCGUAGAUAUUCGCAAGAACACCAGUGGCGAAGGCGGCUCACUGGCCCGAUACUGACGCUGAGGCACGAAAGCGUGGGGAGCAAACAGG